UAGGGAAUUUUCCGCAAUGGGCGAAAGCCUGACGGAGCAACGCCGCGUGAGUGAUGAAGGUCUUCGGAUCGUAAAACUCUGUUAUUAGGGAAGAACAAAUGUGUAAGUAACUAUGCACGUCUUGACGGUACCUAAUCAGAAAGCCACGGCUAACUACGUGCCAGCAGCCGCGGUAAUACGUAGGUGGCAAGCGUUAUCCGGAAUUAUUGGGCGUAAAGCGCGCGUAGGCGGUUUUUUAAGUCUGAUGUGAAAGCCCACGGCUCAACCGUGGAGGGUCAUUGGAAACUGGAAAACUUGAGUGCAGAAGAGGAAAGUGGAAUUCCAGGUGUAGCGGUGAAAUGCGCAGAGAUAUGGAGGAACACCAGUGGCGAAGGCGACUUUCUGGUCUGUAACUGACGCUGAUGUGCGAAAGCGUGGGGAUCAAACAGG
rnacentral:rRNA from 1 species